AAGAAGAAGAAGAAGAAGAAGAAGAACUCGAAUCUCCUGUGGCUAGCUGCUUGUGCUUGGCGUUUUCCAAAAUCGUUGAAGAAUACUGCUGGAUCGAGCCAAAAUAACACAGCCGAAGGAUUAUAUUGUUUGUUUUCUGACAACCACUCGACGGUCAGGUUUUUUCCCCCCACCACCUGUUUCAACCCAGGAUGGCGAGCUACUGGAUCACCGCAGCUUUGCGGUAGUACUUUAUUGAACCAAACUACUUUUCUUUUCCGGACCUAUUGCUUUGGGUCAUGGACUUUAAAACAUUCUGAUUAUUGAUUGAUGGACCAUUAAUCACCCUGCAUACAAAAGAACGGACUUGAAUAAGAGAAAAAAACACUCUUGGGUGUCAUCAGGGUUUAUUUUUUUGUUGUUGUUGAUUUCUUGUUGUGCUUGUUGUUUAUACUUAUAGGAAAAUAUUAUUAUUGCAAAUAUAUGAAUUUGAAUACAAUAACUUAAACUUA